UUAUGGCCAUAUCACGUUGAAACACCAAUUCCCAUCUGAUCACCAAAGUUAAACAAUGUUGAUCCUGGUUGGUACUUAGAUGGGUGACUACUUGGGAAUACCAGGU